AACAAACGCUGGCGACGUGCCUAAUACAUGCAAGUCGAACGGGGUAGCAAUACCUAGUGGCGCACGGGUGAGGAACGCGUGGAUAAUCUGCCUUAGAGUGGGGGAUAACUAGUCGAAAGAUUAGCUAAUACCGCAUAAGACCACAGGAGCUGCGGCUCUAGGGGUCAAAGGUUUUUCGCUCUAAGAUGAGUCCGCGUAAGAUUAGCUAGUCGGUGAGGUAACGGCUCACCAAGGCGACGAUCUUUAACUGGUCUGAGAGGAUGAUCAGUCACACUGGAACUGAGACACGGUCCAGACUCCUACGGGAGGCAGCAGUAGGGAAUAUUGCACAAUGGAGGAAACUCUGAUGCAGCGACGCCGCGUGAGUGAUGAAGGCCUUCGGGUCGUAAAGCUCUGUCGCAGGGGAAUAACACAAUGAAUGUACCCUGUAAGAAAGGAUCGGCUAACUUCGUGCCAGCCGCCGCCGUAAGAC
rnacentral:rRNA from 1 species